ACAAACACUGGAGAGAGAAACUCCCAGAGACCAGAGAUAGGACGGCACCAACAACAGGAGCGCUGACUGCAAAGUCUGCAGUCAGCAGCCUUGCGAAUAAAGGACGCUGGAUCCACCACAUCAAAUGUUAUCAGGCACCUGAAAACUCACCUGGAUAGAUGCCAUGAUAACUUUCUCUGCAAAAUGAGAGGAGAAGGAGCCCCGCCUCCCAUCAUGCACACCUUCUACAGAGGCACCAUCGAGAGCAUCCUGACAAGCUGCAUCACCGUGUGGUACUGACCCCUCCCCUUCUAUGAAGAGAGUGACUCAUCAAGGACAGUCAUGGAUGCUGGGAAAACACACUCUUACACCCCUACAGGACACGCACUGUAUCGUAGUUUCAGAGUACUGCACACCGGCCUCUCCAAUGACUGAACAAAAUGGAUGUUUCUACUUCUAAACUACAACUACGUCCGCCUUUCUCAGACUAUGAAACUUGAAUAACCCAUCAAAUUAAACAUUUAAGUCCUA